AUUGAACGCUGGCGGCAUGCUUUACACAUGCAAGUCGGACGAGUGGCGGACGGGUGAGUAAUGCCUCGGAACGUGCCGAGUAGUGGGGGAUAACUAUUCGAAAGGACAGCUAAUACCGCAUAUUAUCCGAGCUGCCGAGGUUGGAUUAGCUGGUGGGCGGGGUAAAGGCUCACCAAGGCGACGAUCCGUAGCGGGUCUGAGAGGAUGACCAGACACACUGGAACUGAGACACGGCCCAGACUCCUACGGGAGGCAGCAGUGGGGAAUUUUGGACAAUGGGCGCAAGCCUGAUCCAGCCAUGCCGCGUGUCUGAAGAAGGCCUUCGGGUUGUAAAGGACUUUUGUCAGGGAAGCGGUACCCGAAGAAUAAGCACCGGCUAACUCCGUGCCAGCAGCCGCGGUAAUUC
rnacentral:rRNA from 1 species